GGGAUUAAGGAAAAAUAAAAUGCCAUAAGAUUUGCUCUUCUUACCAAAAUUCCACCAUUUAUCUUAAAUAAACAAUUCUUGGAUUGUUGUAAGCCUUUAGUUAAUUUCCAGAGUUUUAAAAGAGACAAUUUGACAGUUUUUGCCAGUGUUAUCAUCGCUUUCAUGCAGAAGCUAUUUUGGGAGUUCUUUAUUCUACUGUUCCAAAUAUUAAGCUGUGUUCUUAAAAAAAUAAUUAAAUAGUACAUAUACAAAAAAAGAGUAUCGUAAAUAAGAUUUCUACCCUUAAGUGCAUUUUUCCCCUAAUCCCAACCAGAAUAUUAAUUAGUAUUAGUGAUUACUGUGUAUUCUUCAUAUAUAUAUACUAGAGAAGCAUCUAUGUGUGUAGAGAUCUAUGUUUCCUUUUGUACAUACAGAAAUUUACUAUAUACUCAUAUUCUGUAUGUUUUUUUUCACUUGGUAAUUUACCUUAGAUAUUGGUCCAUACUAAUCCAUAUUGAAGUUAUCUCAGCCUCUUAUUAUUGUUGUUGUAGUUGUUUGGUAUUCUAUAAUGGAUAGUCCAUUAUUUGCACAUUUUCUAGUAGCAAAUAUUUGAGUUGGUCUAUGCUUUGUUAUUUCAAACAAUAAUGAAGUGAACCUUAUUGCAUUCACAUCUUUUUGACCAUAUAUUACUAUAGGAUAAAUUCCUUAUUUUUUGUUGCUUUUCUCAUAAAUUUAGUUUACAGUUUUACUUUGUAUUAGAGACAUCGCUCCUUUAUUUGGCAACUUGAGAGUUAUUAUUUAUGGCUAGCAAUUCUUCCUGUUCACCUUCUUGCAAUGGAAGUGGGGGUUGUUUUAAGUUACAACCUGGAAAUUGUAGGAAACGGGGAAAGAGAGGAAGUUGAGCUAUAAUAAGUAGAUACGAAAGCAUUCCCUACUCAUGGCUUAAAAUGUUUUGCCCUCAGGUAUUUCUACUGCUGAAAAAAUUAGUUGGGAAAACUAGCUCUUCAAAAAUACAGUAAAACCUGUGAAAAGUGUAGUCCUUGCUUAACACUUAAGAUGAAUUACUAACAUUUUUCAUUCAAAUAGCUUGGGUUUUUAUUGUAUAUGUAUAUUUAGAGGCCAAAGCACAUUCCAAGACAGGGUAAAAGUCUUUGUAAAUUCGAAGGGCAAGGAAUGAAGAAAUGAAGGCUAACAAAAAGAUACUUUUACUUUUAACAGAAAGUAAGUACAUUUCAGGACCAUACUAUUAUGCUGCUAAAUAUUAUUGCCUAGACUGAGGAUAAGUGAAGAUUAUUUUUAUGAUCUGCAAGAUAAAUUUUUUUAAGUUCAAUCUAAAUUUUCCUGCCAGAUAGUGAAAUCCAAUUUAGUAUUUCCCAGUCAGCCUAGUAUCUCUUUCCUUCUUUUUCUAUUGGUAAAAGAAAUAAAAAGAAAUGGAAAACAUAUGUCUCCAUUCCAUUUUUUGAUAGUAGGAUCAUAUAGUGCUAUAGUUGAGCAUUUGCUGGGUUACUGUGGUAGGCAGGAUAAUAGCUCUCCAAAGGUGUCCAGCCCCUAAAAUCUAGAACCUGUGAAUGUUACCUUAACUCACGGCAACGCCAGAUCGUUAACCCACUGAGCAAGGGCAGGGAUCGAACUCGCAACUUCAUGGUUCCUAGUCGGAUUCGUUAACCACUGCGCCACGACAGGAACUCCAUAUUGGAUUUUGAAUCUCAGUUGAUCUGCGUUAUAUCAGUUCUUUAAGAACUGCAAAGGACUUAAUACUCUCCCCCACCUCUUACCUUCUAUGGUAUUUUAUUUGUACCUCUGCUUUUGUGGUGAUUUUUUUUUACACUGAUAUCCUCAACUCUUUGUUCUUAAAACACCCAGGAGCACCUGAAAGUGGUCUUUUACAUACCAGGUUUUCAAAAUAUUACUGUAUUGAAUUAAGACAGAAGACUUAGUUAUUUUCUUUAAUGUUAGUUUAAUAGAGGAGCUGUGAUGUAUAUGUAAUGCUAACAACAUGGAAUUCUAAAUAAUAAACAUAACUCCAAUUAUGUAAAUGAGAGAUACCUACAUUGGAGUUAAUAAGUUAUUUGUAGCUUUAAGAGCCAGAAAGAGCCAGAUUUUAUUAACAACCUAUGGAAUGUUUUUGGUAGGUUAGCAUUUGUUAUUUCUUCCAAGAUAUAUUUUAAUCAUAAUAUUUAAAUUUGAGUGUGAACCCUAGUGAUACCUAUUUAUUCCCAUAGUCUGUCUGAAGAAGUAAGCAAUACCAGAUCUAAUCUCUAUUUUUGAAGCAAGGAAGAGAGGGAAGAAAGGAAAGAAGAUAGGUAAGUAGGUGAGCAUGGAGGAGAAUUUAAAAUGCUUAUCUUGGUGUUCCCGUCAUGGCCACAGUGGAAAUGAAUCCAACUAGGAAUCAUGAGGUUACUGCUUUGAUCCCUGGCUUUGCUCAGUGGGUUAAGGAUCUGGCAUUACCAUGAGCUGUGAUGUUAAGUCCGCAGACGCGGCUCAGAUUUGGUGGUGCUGUGGCUCUGGCAUCAGCUGGCAACUGUAGCUCUGAUUUGACCCCUAGCCUGGGACCCUCCAUAUGCUGUGGGUGUGGCCCUAAAAAGAAAAAACAAGAUGCCUAUCCUGUAUAAUUUCGUCCCCUCAGAAAAUCUUACAGGGGUGGGGUUAGAAGUAGAAGACCUGGAAGGUCAGGUUCUUAUGAAACCACAAAGCACCACACCUACUUGGAAAACCAGUUUGUGCUGAGCAGGAACAUGCAACUGGGACUGAGCUGGGGUGGAUUCUUUCAAUUUCUUUCAAUUUCUUUCCCUUUGCGUGUUUUCCACCCUAUCAGUCAUUUCAAAGGCACAUGGAUUUAAAUAGUGACAGACACAUUUGAUACUUUACCCUUUAGCCCAGUAGAGUGUGUCUACUUUCCUCACAAUAAUGAGGAAUUUGCAAUAUCACAAGAUCUAAAAACAUUUAUAGAAUAAAAGCCAGGCUUAUAAACCUUGUAUUACUGUAUGCUAUUAUUGUGCUAUGUUAAAUGGAUAUACUCUGUUUUUUCCCUAGAGGAAAUCGUAGUUUGAAUUCUAACUAAUAAGUAUUUAAUUGAAAAGAUGUGUUUGAAAUGGAUUUCAUAGAUAUUUUUCUGGAACGGGCUAGCACUUAGGAGAAGUUAGACUUUAAUUUCUUCCUCCCAUUUUCCAUAUAUAGUAUGUUAUAUACCUUCUACUUUUCAUAAUAUAUGAUGUGAUCAAAAUUUGGUAUUAUACUAAUAUAAUUUGUUGAAGUGAAUUUGACCUGAUUUGAAUUAAAAGCUCUUUGGAAAUGAAUAUGUUAGGAACUAGAAAUGCUCCUAUAGGUGUUCCUGGAUACUGUACUAGUUCUCUCAUAGACUUUUUGCAUUAUUCCAUCAAAUAGGAAAUAACUGAAACCCCUCAAGCCCAAGUUAUACUUUUUUUUGGGGGGAGGCGGUAAUUUACUGUUUUGGAAUUGAAAAUGCAUUUCUUCCUUUGAAACCCAUGUAGUACAUUGAGCGAGGUUCCUAGGACAGAAUUUCCAGAGAUCUUUUCAUCCUAAAAUGGGAGGCCUUGUCUGAUUUCUGGAUCAUUGUUGACAACUACAUAACUGGAAAUGAGAAGAAGCCCUAGAAAAGAGAAUUCCAGAGGGAUUUCACCUUACAAUAUUGCUGAAUUAAUGAUACUUUGAAAAAAGCACUACGUUGCUAAAGCAGAUCUUAAUAUGUUCCUGUACCAUCAUCAUAAUGAUAUGUAAAAGUUUUUUUCCUGUAGCUCUUUCUCAAUCUCAACCUUUUGCCCCUCCCUUUUUUUUUUUUUUUUUUGGUCUCAAUUUCCUCACUUAUUUCCAUUUUAAUAUAUAGUACUGGUAUUUUUAUAUGCUAUCAAUCGCUUUGUAAUAAAACAGAAAUAAUUUUUAAAAGUAUCACAUUUAAGAUGUAUUAGAAACCACUAACAGAGCAAUUGGGAAAGAUGGAAUAGAGCACUAGACUUGGGCUCAGGUUCUAGCACCACAAUUUUCCAAUUCAGGGCCAAAACUUUGGCCUCUCUCAAGAGACUAUUUUUCUCAUAUACUCUAAGAUCUUAAUGCUGAUUAAGUCAUGUUAUAUUUGGGAAAGUAUAUGGCAUAAACUAGAAAGAUAAUUACAUAUUAGUUGAAUCUAUAUCAGGUUUUCAUAGGUUAGGGAAAAUAUAUUGUGGUUUUUCUUCCUUUUUAAAUCUGUUAUUCCUGUGACCGAAUUGUUACAGUUUGGUGCAUUCACUAGGAAUGAGUCUAGGCAUUCUGGAUUUUGAGCAUUUGUGAAAAAUCUAAUGAAUGCCACAUCGGUGCUGUGCCCAGAGAGCUUCCUCUAGAGAAGGCUUAUUCCUUGAACUUCCAUGUUGCAUCAGUGCCAGUAGACAGAACCUAUGACAAGAGGAAGCCUUCUCCAAGCCUCCAAAGCAGCACCCUGAAACAUAUAUUCUUAUAGACUUUGUGCUAUAUAGUAUUGAUUUGUCAUGGUUUUCCUUCAAAAGCCAUUUUAUUCUUAACACAAUUAAACAACAGUGCAAUUGUGAGAAUAUAACUAUACUCCCUGUAUUUCUUGUUACAAAUGGGCCUUUCCCUGAGGUGGGUCUAGGCUCUUUUAUGGAGACCUGUCAUCUUCAUGUUGGCCUUUGUUCUGAGCCAGCUUUUUCUAAAGACUGGAACUUCCUUCAGUCUGUUUCAUAUCCAAGCCAAAAAACUCUGUACCCAUGAACUCUAUUAAUGAAGCUGUAUUAUACUGUGAUUGGAAACCUUUUUGGGAGUUCCCUUGUGGCUCAGCAGAAACUAAUCUGACUAGCAUCCUUCAGAAUGCAGGUUCACUCCUUGGCCCCGCUCAGUGGAUUAAGGAUCCGGCUUUGCUGUGAACUGUGGUGUAGAUCACAGAUGGGGCUCAGAUCCUCCGUUGGUGUGGCUAUGGCGUAGGCCUGCAGCUAUAGCUCCAAUUUGACCCUUAUUCUGGGAACCUCCACAUGCCAUGGGUGUGGCCCUAAAAAGACAAAAAAAAACAAAAAGAGAGAGAGAGAGAGAGAAUUGAAGCAUGCUCGUGUUGGGAGAUGGUGCCGUGCUAAUAAUACUUCCUACAAGUACUGUAUAUGUGAAUAAGGUAUUAUGUUGUGGAACUCAAAUGAAAACUCUGCGGAUUAUGUAAAAACUAUGUUAACAAUAUCUUUAAGUUAUUUGAGAAAAUGAGGAGACCUAGAUCACAGCCCUUAUAUCACUGUUAUGACCUUCAUUUGGCAAGUCACCCUUUUAGAUCUGUUUGCUUGAAAAUGAAGUAACAUCUGGGAAAUUGCUAAGGCUUUUUCCAGUGUAAAUUUCUAUUACUCUUUUUAUUAAAAUUUGAGGUGAUAAAAACUUGGUCAUACUGUACAUAAAUGAUUGUUUUACUCAAGAGUUAUUAAUAGUGUAUAAUUUUACAUUGCAGACUUGUCUUCUAAAAAUAGACAAAAGUAUAAUUGUAUUUUUCCCUAAGUGUUUAUUGCUUUAUAUGCUGUAUUUCUUGAUCAGACUUCUUCAUUUUGAGAAGGAAAAUAUUUUUCUAAGGAGAAUCUCUUAUCCUUUUUAUUUCCUACUAGCUCUUCCCCACCCCCACCACCCAAAGAUAACCUCCUCCUGCAUCCAUACUUGAAAAGUAAGUCUCGGAGUUCCCAUCAUGGCUCAGUGGUUAACGAAUCUGACUAGGAACCAUGAGGUUGCGGGUUCAAUCCCUGGCCUUGCUCAGUGGGUUAGGGAUCUGGUGUUGCAGUGAGCUGUGGAGUAGGUCACGGACGUGGCUCGGAUCCCUGGGUUGCUGUGGCUGUGGUGUAGGCCGAUGGCUACAGCUCCAAUUUGGCCCGUAGCCUGUGAACCUCCAUAUGCCGCGGGAGUGGCCCAAGAAAUGGCAAAAAGACAAAAAGACAAAAAAAAAAAGUAAGCCUGACAACCACAAAACCAACAAAGUCUGGGACAUUAUUCUCUGCAGUGAAGAUAGACCAAUGCUUGGCAACUGUGUUGUAAAAAUAUAAUUCAGAGGGAGUAAAUUCAUGCAAAACUGUCACAAAUAGUAUGAUUUAUAGCAUAGCACAGUCAAAAGGGAAAUGUCAUUUCUUCACUUUCAUACACACAUGCGUGCAUACACACACGCGGACACACACACACACACACACACACACACUUGCUUUCCACUAUUUUUGCCUCUGUUCUCCUUAAAAAAAACAUUUACAGGAGUUCCCAUCAUGAUUCAGUGGUUAAUGAAUCUGACUAGCAUCCAUGAGUACAAAGGUUCAAUCCCUGGCCUUGCUCAGUGGGUUAAGGAUCUGAUGUUGCCAUGAGCUGUGGUGUGGGUUGUAGACAUGGCUUGGAUCCUGCAUUGCUGUGGCUGUGGCUGGCAGCUACAGCUUCGAUUUAACCCCUAGCCUGUGGACCUCCAUAUGCCACCAGUGCAGCCCUAAAAAGACCAAAAAAAAAAAAAAAAAAA
rnacentral:lncRNA from 1 species